rnacentral:rRNA from 1 species
UACGUAGGUGGCAAGCGUUAUCCGGAUUUAUUGGGUGUAAAGGGCGUGUAGGCGGGAGCGCAAGUCAGAUGUGAAAACUCAGGGCUCAACCCUGAGCCUGCAUUUGAAACUGUGUUUCUUGAGUGCUGGAGAGGCAAUCGGAAUUCCGUGUGUAGCGGUGAAAUGCGUAGAUAUACGGAGGAACACCAGCGGCGAAGGCGGAUUGCUGGACAGUAACUGACGCUGAGGCGCGAAAGCGUGGGGAGCAAACAGG